AACUUACCAGGUCAAGACAUGGGCGUGAUUGACAGGCUAAUGACUUUUCUCGAUUCCAUGGAUGGUGGUGCAUGGUCGCACUUAGUUGGUGCAGUGAUUUGUCAGGUUUAUUCCGGUAACGAACGAGACCUCGGCCUUGUAAAUAGCUAUGCUGCUUACAGGGACAUUGGCGGCUACGCCAAGGAAGCUCGAGGCAAUUGCAGAUCUGGAAUGCCCUUAGAUGUCCUGGGUCGCACGCGUGCUACAAUGACGCCACGAACGAGCUUGCGUGAUGAAAGUUACGCAUAAUCAGCAGUCGGCGUCUUAAGGGAUAGUCUCUUGUAACUGUGGGACUCCAACUAGGAAUGUCUCGUAAGCACAAGUCAACAUCUUGUGUUGAUUACGUCCCUGCUCUUUGUACACACCGCCCGUCGCUCCUACCGAUCGAGUGUUUAGGUGAAUUUGAUGGACGUAAGGAAGUCAAAUAAACCUGAGCACUAGAGAAGAGAAGUCGUCCAUGU
rnacentral:rRNA from 1 species